AUGGUGAGUUUACUUGUUGCUGUCUUUAUUUUCUGGCGCUGCCCACGAUGCCACGGUCGUAUGGAUGGCGGAGAUGUCGGAGCAAUGUGUGCAUCACGCAGGAGGGCCCACCAAACUGCACCGACAGCUGACACCCCAAAUUCCCAGACAAGAAUAAAGAGCAGAGCAGACUGGCAUCCCGGGAUGCUUAUAGGGACAUGCUUGGAGGUGGAGAAGAUGGGAAGACUGGUACACCUGGUCUUGGGAACUGUUGUUGACAUCAAAUUGUGCCUUGAAUUUUGGGACCUGGCUUUCUGCAUCCCUCAGCCCCCUGUGGCCAGAACCUAA
rnacentral:lncRNA from 1 species